rnacentral:rRNA from 1 species
UGCGCAGGCGGCUUAUUAAGUCAGUGGUGAAAUCUCUCGGCUCAACCGAGAAACUGCCAUUGAAACUGAUAAGCUUGAGUGUGGUUGUGGUAGGCGGAAUAUAGCAUGUAGCGGUGAAAUGCUUAGAUAUGCUAUAGAACACCGAUCGCGAAGGCAGCUUACCAAACCAUUACUGACGCUCAUGCACGAAAGCGUGGGGAGCAAACAGGAUUAGAUACCCUGGUAGUCC